UACGGAGGGUGCGAGCGUUAUCCGGAAUCACUGGGCGUAAAGGGCGCGUAGGCGGUUCAGUAAGUCUGAUGUUAAAGAGCGGGGCUCAACCCCGUCACGGCGUUGGAUACUGCUGGGCUUGACGACUGGAGAGGUGAGUGGAAUUACCAGUGUAGCGGUGGAAUGCGUAGAUACUGGUAGGAACACCCAUUGCGAAGGCAGCUCACUGGACAGUACGUGACGCUGAGGCGCGAAAGCGUGGGGAGCAAACAGG
rnacentral:misc_RNA from 1 species